GACGAACCGAGCGAACGUUGUUCGGAAUCACUGGGCUUAAAGGGCGCGUAGGCGGGUGCUCAAGUCUGUGGUGAAAUCCUCCAGCUUAACUGGAGAACUGCCAUGGAUACUGGGUGUCUCGAGGAACGUAGGGGUAUGCGGAACGAUUGGCGGAGCGGUGAAAUGCGUUGAUAUCAAUCGGAACUCCGGUGGCGAAGGCGGCAUACUGGACGUUUUCUGACGCUGAGGCGCGAAAGCCAGGGGAGCAAACGGG
rnacentral:rRNA from 1 species